GAAUAUUGGUCAAUGGCCUAAAGGCUGAACCAGCCAUUUGGGGGAAUGUAUAUUGACUACGUCAUAUAAAGUUCUAGAUAGAUAAUUGAUAAUGACAAAUUUCUAUCUAUGUGUCUUGACCAAGUCUUGUGCCAGCAGUCGCGGCAAUACAAGGAAGACUAGUGUUAUUCAUCUUUAUUAGGUUUAAAGGGUACGCAGACAGCAAAUUUAGCCCCAAAAGGGUACUGAUAUGCUAGAGUUUGAUGGGAGAGGCAUAAAUUUUGGGCUGUUGGUGUAGAGAUGAAAUUCUUUGAUACCUUCGGAACGUGUAACGGCGAAAGCAAUGCUCUAUCUAUAAACUGACGUUAAGGUACGAAGGCUUGGGGCGCGAACAGGAUUAGAUACCCUAGUAGUCCAGGCAGAGAAUUAUGAAUGUUAUACAUUAAAAUAAAUUUAGUGUAUUAAUGAAAGUGUAAGCAUUCCACCUCAAGAGUAAUGUGGCAACGCAGGAACUGAAAUCAUUAGACCGUUUUUGAAACCAGUAGUGAAGUAUGUUAUUUAAUUCGAUGAUCCUCGAAAAACCUUACCACAAUUUGAAUAUUAUUCAAGAAUAUUAUUAAUAAUAUUCUUGAAUAUUACAGGCGUUGCACGGCUGUCUUCAGUUAAUGUCGUGAGAUUUUGGUUAGAUCCAAAAAAUUAACGUAUAACCCUAUCUUUAUUUAUAUUAAUAAAAUUAAUAAUAAUAAGGAAGUGCAAAGCCAAUUUUUAUUGGCCGCGAUAAUAGGGACCAAGACAAGUCACCAUGACCUUAAUAUUGUGGGCUAUAGACG
rnacentral:rRNA from 1 species